CAUUCUCUUUUCCCCGCGCGCUUUCUCCUCCCGAGUCCUAACCGACGCUGGGGCAGUUUCCCUUCUCCUCGCGAUUUAAGUGUGGUCGAGGGUUUCUGGCAUACUCUUCUUCUUCUCCCUCAUCGCGCCGCUCCUCACCCGUGCCCUAGAUCUGCAGCGCGCUGCAGCCACACGGAAGUGCCGCCGGCCGCCACUGAGCCUUGCCAACGCCGCUACCCUCUCUGAUCCGGAGCAGCGUCUUAUCGCCUCUGCUCUAGCGCCGCUCAUCCUUGUGCGCCGACGCCGAUCCCGACUUCUCGGUGAGUUGCUGUCGCGCCACCGUCGGCCGAGCCAUCCUCCGCCGACUCUCCUCCAUUGUGUCUCUGCUGACCUUGGUGGUGUUGUCCUCCCUGUGCCCUAGCUGUUUCCCCCUUGCCAUGGGCUACUGCCGCCGCCGAUCAGCAGGCACCCUCCAGUAACGCCGACGUCCUCUCGUGCCCUAAUUCCCGAUGAUCUGGGAGUGGGGAAAGGAAGAUUUCCAGUAGGGUUUGCUGUGGUUUGUUGAUUUCCGACAGCAACCCCAUUCAACAGCCCUUGAUCCAGCAGCAAUCAUGACUGUGAAUUUAGAAGAGAGCAGCGGCAGAUCCUUGCUCUUCUUUCAGAUCUGGAAGCCAAAAGAGCUGCAAAAACAAAAACAGCAGUCAUUAAGGACACACGUCAUGUUGUAGAUCGAACUAUUGAUUGAUUGGUGGCAAAUUAUCAGGAUUAAUAUAGCAAAGUAAUAUAUAUGUAUAAGAUAUUUGAUUACCUCCCAA